rfam:Agrilus planipennis Contig64668, whole genome shotgun sequence.
CCUUUCGUAGCUUAGUUGCCAAAGCAUUGGCGUGUAAAGCCAAAGCUUCCGGGUUCGAUUCCCGGUGAGGGUG